rnacentral:rRNA from 1 species
UACGAAGGGGGCUAGCGUUGUUCGGAAUUACUGGGCGUAAAGCGCACGUAGGCGGGUUUGUAAGUAGGGGGUGAAAUCCCAGGGCUCAACCCUGGAACUGCCUUCUAAACUGCAAGCCUGGAGGUCAGGAGAGGCGAGUGGAAUACCGAGUGUAGAGGUGAAAUUCGUAGAUAUUCGGUGGAACACCAGUGGCGAAGGCGACUCGCUGGACUGAUACUGACGCUGAGGUGCGAAAGCGUGGGGAGCAAACAGG